rnacentral:rRNA from 1 species
AUUGAACGCUGGCGGCAGGCCUAACACAUGCAAGUCGAGCGGAUGAAGGGAGCUUGCUCCUGGAUUCAGCGGCGGACGGGUGAGUAAUGCCUAGGAAUCUGCCUGGUAGUGGGGGAUAACGUCCGGAAACGGGCGCUAAUACCGCAUACGUCCUGAGGGAGAAAGUGGGGGAUCUUCGGACCUCACGCUAUCAGAUGAGCCUAGGUAGGAUUAGCUAGUUGGUGGGGUAAAGGCCUACCAAGGCGACGAUUCGUAACUGGUCUGAGAGGAUGAUCAGUCACACUGGAACUGAGACACGGUCCAGACUCCUACGGGAGGCAGCAGUGGGGAAUAUUGGACAAUGGGCGAAAGCCUGAUCCAGCCAUGCCGCGUGUGUGAAGAAGGUCUUCGGAUUGUAAAGCACUUUAAGUUGGGGGGAAGGGCAGUAAGUUAAUACCUUGCUGUUUUGACGUUACCAACAGAAUAAGCACCGGCUAACUUCGUG